rnacentral:tRNA from 1 species
GGUGGCUCAGUGGUAGAGUGCUUGCCUUGCAUGCAUGAGGCCCUGGGUUCGGUUCCCCAGCACCA